rnacentral:rRNA from 1 species
UACGUAGGGUGCGAGCGUUGUCCGGAAUUAUUGGGCGUAAAGAGCUUGUAGGCGGUUUGUCGCGUCUGCCGUGAAAUUUCGGGGCUCAACCCCGAACUUGCGGUGGGUACGGGCAGACUAGAGUGUGGUAGGGGAGACUGGAAUUCCUGGUGUAGCGGUGAAAUGCGCAGAUAUCAGGAGGAACAACGAUGGCGAAGGCAGGUCUCUGGGCCACUACUGACGCUGAGAAGCGAAAGCGUGGGGAGCAAACAGG